rnacentral:pre_miRNA from 1 species
CAAGUACUCCCUCCGUCCAAAAAAACUUGGCCCUCAAAUCGACGUAUCUAGUAUCAAAUUAGUGCUAGAUACAUUCAUUUGAGAAACAAGUUUGGGACAAGUUUUUCGGAUGGAGGGAGUAUAAC